rnacentral:rRNA from 1 species
AUUGAACGCUGGCGGCAGGCCUAACACAUGCAAGUCGAGCGAGCGGCGGACGGGUGAGUAAUGUAUGGGGACUGCCCGAUAGAGGGGGAUAACUACUGGAAACGGUGGCUAAUACCGCAUACUAUCGGAUAACCCAUAUGGGAUUAGCUAGUAGGUGGGGUAAAGGCUCACCUAGGCGACGAUCUCUAGCUGGUCUGAGAGGCUGAUCAGCAACACUGGGACUGAGACAGGGCCCAGACUCCAACGGAGGCAGAAGUGGGGAAUAUUGGACAAUGGGCAAAGGCCUGAUGCAGCAAUGCGGCGUGUAUGAUGAGGGCCUUAGGGUGUUAAAGUACUUUCAGCGGGGAGGCGUUACCCGCAGAAGAAGCACCGGCUAACUACGUGCCAGCAGCCGCGGUAAUUC